CGCCUCUUGAAACGCAUAAGAGGUCCAGCCUGCCCAGUGACAUCUGUUCAACGGCCGCGGUAUCCUAACCGUGCGAAGGUAGCGUAAUCACUUGUUCUUUAAAUGAGGACUAGUAUGAAUGGCACCACGAGGGUUACACUGUCUCCUCUUUCUAAUCAGUUAAACUAAUCCCUCCGUGAAGAAGCGGAGAUAUAUCUAUAAGACGAGAAGACCCUAUGGAGCUUUAAACAAAACAGCAUUUGCUAUUACACAUAUGAAUCUCAGGAAACUAAUUUUUAUUUCAGCAUUCUGGCUGUCAGUUUUAGGUUGGGGCGACCGCGGAGUAAAAUAUAACCUCCACGCUGAAAAGGACAUUCCUUAAGCAAAAAGUCACAACUUUAUGCAUCAAUAAAUUGACAUUAAUUGACCCAAUAUUUUGAUCAACGAACCAAGUUACCCUAGGGAUAACAGCGCAAUCCACUUCGAGAGCCCUUAUCGACAAGUGGGUUUACGACCUCGAUGUUGGAUCAGGGUAUCCUAGUGGUGCAGCCACUACUAAAGGUUCGUUUGUUCAACGAUUAAAACCCU
rnacentral:rRNA from 1 species